ACAAGCGGUGGAGCAUGUGGUUUAAUUCGAGGCAACGCGCAGAACCUUACCAGCCCUUGACAUCCCGGUCGCGGAUCGCAGAGAUGCUUUCCUUCAGUUCGGCUGGACCGGUGACAGGUGCUGCAUGGCUGUCGUCAGCUCGUGUCGUGAGAUGUUGGGUUAAGUCCCGCAACGAGCGCAACCCCCGCCUUCAGUUGCCAACGGUUCGGCCGUGCACUCUGGAGGAACUGCCUGUGACAAGCAGGAGGAAGGUGGGGAUGACGUCAAGUCCUCAUGGCCCUUAUGGGCUGGGCUACACACGUGCUACAAUGGCGGUGACAGAGGGAUGCAAUACCGCGAGGUGGAGCAAAUCCCUAAAAGCCGUCUCAGUUCGGAUUGUUCUCUGCAACUCGAGAGCAUGAAGUUGGAAUCGCUAGUAAUCGCAGAUCAGCUCGCUGCGGUGAAUACGUUCCCGGGCCUU
rnacentral:rRNA from 1 species